GUGGGGAAUAUUGCGCAAUGGGGGAAACCCUGACGCAGCCAUGCCGCGUGUGUGAAGAAGGCCUUAGGGUUGUAAAGCACUUUCAAUUGGGAGGAAAGGUUACUGGUUAAUAGUCAGUAACUGUGACGUUACCUUUAGAAGAAGCACCGGCUAACUCCGUGCCAGCAGCCGCGGUAAUACGGAGGGUGCAAGCGUUAAUCGGAAUUACUGGGCGUAAAGCGCGCGUAGGCGGUUUGUUAAGUCGGAUGUGAAAGCCCUGGGCUCAACCUGGGAACUGCACUCGAAACUGGCCGACUAGAGUACGAGAGAGGGAGGUAGAAUUCCAUGUGUAGCGGUGAAAUGCGUAGAUAUGUGGAGGAAUACCGGUGGCGAAGGCGGCCUCCUGGCUCGAUACUGACGCUGAGGUGCGAAAGCGUGGGGAGCAAACAGG
rnacentral:rRNA from 1 species